UACGUAUGGAGCAAGCGUUAUCCGGAUUUACUGGGUGUAAAGGGUGCGUAGGUGGCAGUGCAAGUCAGAUGUGAAAGGCCGGGGCUCAAUCCCGGAGCUGCAUUUGAAACUGCUCGGCUAGAGUACAGGAGAGGCAGGCGGAAUUCCUAGUGUAGCGGUGAAAUGCGUAGAUAUUAGGAGGAACACCAGUGGCGAAGGCGGCCUGCUGGACUGUUACUGACACUGAGGCACGAAAGCGUGGGGAGCAAACAGG
rnacentral:rRNA from 1 species